GAAAGUUUGUGUGUCCGAUGGCUUGACAUAUGGGGUUUGAGGUAUCAAUGUUACAGCGGAAUUAUUGUAAGAUUCUCCUGGAAGUCCACCACGUGCAAAAUUCGAUGAUGUCAGGAUAAAUGAUGUGUUUGAUGAUGAAGAGACGAUGUCGAUGCAUUCGGAACGGAGGAUUGCAGAGACGACUGGCUCGAUCGUGAAGUCGCUGAAUGCAUGAUCCAAUCGAGCCAAGGAUUAAUAUCUUGGCUGAGAUUCUGUUAAAAACGAUUGUACCUUUUGCUUCUCAUCUAUGAUAAAAAUCUAAAUUGUCAAUUGACACUUAUACCUAACCUCUUUAGUGCGAACAUGAUAUUUUCAAUUUCUUUCAAAAACAAAAUUUGACAUAUAUUGUCAUUAAUUCGAAACUCACGAGAACUCACCUGACGAACAAUGAUCUCUCGAAACUAGGUAAAGGUUUUCCUCGUACCUUUGCGAGAGUAUUCCAAUAAUAUUCCGAAAUAUUUUCAGGCAUAACAUCGUACACUUGCGAUUACUAAGCCAAACCAAGUUCAUGUGAAACUCGGUUUAAACAAAUGGCAAUGUGAUUGAAUAAAAAGAAAAAAAAAAGAAAAAAAAGAAAUACAUAAAAGACGAGACGAAUUGAUGAUCAAAAGUAACGGGUCAACCAAAUUGACAGGUUGCUGUUAUAGUGAUCGAAGAACGUAUAAAUUCUUUUGCAUGUUCGUUCGACAGUUUUCUUGAAAUAUAUAAAUUAUAAUUAUCACAUGAAAUAUAUAUAUUAAUAUCAUAAAGUAGAGAUUUCGUCUAAUAAUAUUAAAAAGGACAAAAAAAAAUAUUGGAAAAGAAAAACGUUUCGAUGAUGACAAUAGUAAUUAAUAAUUAAACAGCUCGAAUAUAUAUAUAUUAAACGCGUUAUUGAACUCGAAGACCGACUUGAAAACGUAAAGAAAAAAAAACGGAUGGCAGACGGCCAUCGGUUCAUAAACAAAUUUUUUUUUCUCGUUGGUAACAAAGAAACGAAGAAAGAAAAAAAAAUUUGACUGCCUUUAGAUGGGCGAGUCACAUGUCUUUAUGGGGAAAUAUCCUAAUAUCUCUCUAUCUCUGCUUGUAGAUUUUUAUUAAAAUUAACAAGAUGCGAUAAAAUACAUGUGAACGUCGACGAUAAUUUUUUUUCUACAAAAAAAAAGGGGUGAAAUAAAUGUAAUUAAUAAGAACGAUCGAUCGAUUAAUUGGGUCGAAUCGAAUCGAAUAAAAUCAAAUCGAUUCGAUCGGUCGAAUGUAAAAAUUCUUAACAAGAGAUAAUGAUAUUAAUUAAAGUGCUAAUCAAAUUAACGUGCGCAAAUCGUUCAUCGCAAUUGUUUAAUCGUGGAUUUGAGAUGGAUUGGAAUACGUUUAACGUUCCUUAUAUAUAAUAUCUCCCAUUAUGUAUAUAUAUUAUUAUUAUUAUAUAUUAAAUUUCUAUCUUACUUUCGUAAUUAAAAACGUAUCGAUACUAACAUCGGACAUAUAGAUUUCAAAAGUCCGAACUUGAUAAGAUGAUACGCUUUCCCUUUCAUUCUCUAUCACUCUCACUCUCUUUCUUUAUUAUUAAAGCUCUCUACGCAAUAAAAUUUCUUGAAUGAACACAGUUUAUGUAAGUUAUGUAUGUAUAUAUAUAUGUGUGUGUGUGUGUGUGUGUGUGUGUGUGUCUAU